rnacentral:rRNA from 1 species
AUACGGAGGAUCCGAGCGUUAUCCGGAUUUAUUGGGUUUAAAGGGAGCGUAGGCGGACGCUUAAGUCAGUUGUGAAAGUUUGCGGCUCAACCGUAACAUUGCAGUUGAUACUGGGUGUCUUGAGUACAGUAGAGGCAGGCGGAAAUCGGGGUGUAGAGGUGAAAUGCUUAGAUAUCACGAAGAACUCCGAUUGCGAAGGCAGCCUGCUGGACUGUAACUGACGCUGAUGCUCGAAAGUGUGGGUAUCAAACAGGAUUAGAUACCCUGGUAGUCCACACAGUAAACGAUGAAUACUCGCUGUUUGCGAUAUACAGUAAGCGGCCAAACGAAAGCGUUAAGUAUUCCACCUGGGGAGUACGCCGGCAACGGUGAAACUCAAAUGAAUUGACGGGG